rnacentral:lncRNA from 1 species
GGAGGUGGAGGAAGGAAGCCGGGACUUCCCCGAUGGCUCAGCUGAAUAGAGGGACUUUCACGGAGUAGCUCUUACCGGCCUCCCUUCCCCGGGGGAGUUCCGCCUCCAACCCCUCCUCCUCCUCCUCUUCCUCCUCCUCCUGGCCGCCUGCCUCAGCCCUUUCCCGGCGGCUUCCAGAGCUGAGGGAAGCCCCGGCCCGGGCGCCCGGGUCGCGUGGCUCAAGGCUACCAGGUGUGCCCGGGCGCCUCGCCAGCUCCAGUUUCACAAGCAAUCAUGGCCUGGAGGGGAAAAAAAGAGGAAAUGAGGCCUCACACAGGAACCCGACAUCGUUGAUAUAUCUCUGCGGUGUUGGGGAUGCACAAGGCUUGUAUCCUGACACCACAAGGCUGUUCUCAUUUUUCUGUCCCUCCUUUUUACUCUCCUCCUUGCUGCUGAUCGGAGACCUUCCCACCUUCCUGAGCUGGCGGUGCGGUUCAAUCAAUCAAAAUAGGGACCUUGGAGGUCUUCUAGUCCAGCCCGCUGCUCAGGCAGGAGACCUUUUACCAUUUCAGACAGGUGACUGUCCAGUCUCUUCUUAAAAACCUCCAGUGAUGGAGCACCUACAACUUCUGGUUACAAGUCGUUCCAUUGGUUAAUUGUCCUCACUGUUAGGAAGUUUCUCCCUAAUUCUAGGUUGCUUCUCUGCUUGAUUAGUUUCCAUCCAUUGUUUCUUGUCCUGCCUUUCUGGUGCUUUGGAAAAUAAGUGGACCCUCUCUUCUCUGUGGCAGCCCCUCAGAUACUGGAAUACUGCUACCACGUCAUCUAGAGAAGACUGUUGGAUUUGGGCUGCAGACCAGAAGAAGACAAGGUGAGGGGAAUCCGGACGAGAAGAGAUCUUGCCAGGGUCACAGUGAGGCCAUCUGAAGUGUGAAGGGGGGAAAAACAAUUCUAAGUGAUUCUGGGGCAGUUUACAACCUUGUAAUAAAGCCACAGAUUCUAUUUAUUUAUUUCAUGUAUUUAUAUUGUAAGCCGCCCCGAGUCUUCGGAGAUGGGGCGGCAUAUAAGUCCCAUUAAUAAAUAAAUAAAUA